rnacentral:rRNA from 1 species
CAGUAGCCGCGGGAAUACGAAGGGGGCUAGCGUUGUUCGGAAUUACUGGGCGUAAAGCGCACGUAGGCGGAUAUUUAAGUCAGGGGUGAAAUCCCGCAGCUCAACUGCGGAACUGCCUUUGAUACUGGGUAUCUUGAGUAUGGAAGAGGUUAGUGGAAUUGCGAGUGUAGAGGUGAAAUUCGUAGAUAUUCGCAGGAACACCAGUGGCGAAGGCGGCUCUCUGGUCUGUAACUGACGCUGAGGCUCGAAAGCGUGGGGAGCGAACAGGAUUAGAUACCCCGGUAGUCCCUGUCUCUUAUAC